GACAAUGACGACAGCUGCUCCGCACUGUCAACAGGAAGAAGACGCACAAGAGUGAAAACAGUUAUCAUAAAGUCUAAUUUCUCCUGUUACACCAUCCACAGAACUAACGCAACACUACAACCGCUUUAAGAACCAUUUUCAAUACAGAAACAGGUCAGUCAGGCCGCAUUUCUGUAGCGCACACACGGUAGCUUUAACCACUGUUGGAACACAGAAACAUACGUCAUAUGCGUAACUACGUCAGCCAUGUUGAUUCAGCUUUCAGGCAAAGCAAUUACGCUAACAGAGGUGAGCGCCUCAACGGCAACAACGAAACUUAGCUAUAACGGUUUGUGUGACAUGAGGUGUCAUGUCACACAAACCGUUAUAACCUCACUGGCUCUACAUAACACACAGUUCAUCUCUACUGCAACGAACUCAGUGCUAACCAGCUAGCUUUAGCCGAGCAGGUUUCUCUCUCUGGGAAAACCGAAAGCUGCACUCAAAUUUCGCUUCUUGGAAAUCUUAAGUGUCAGAUUCCGACUCAGACAGGACUCAGACGCGGAGCAGGUAUGAAUAAACGCAGACUCUAAUAAUAUCAACCUGGACUUCCCUAAGGCAGAGUGAAAUUAACACAAAGGCUAUGAAAUUACUCCCAAAGAGUGUCUCCUUUAUUAAGAGACACUCCGAAACAUGAAACAUUAAUUAUCUCAAGGGAGAUAAAAACAAAAGGCUAUGAAAAUUACUAAACAAAAGAGCUACUACUCUAAAGAACUAGAAAUCACUCCAAAAGGAGGCAAAAAUAAGACUAGGGAAAAUAACAAAAGAACAUCUAAUCUAAUAAUCUAACUGUGAAAAUAUAUGAUCUAAAGGUAACCAAAAAUCAUUCCUACGGAGGAAAAAGAAACAAAAGACUACUUAGAAAUCCUAAACAAAGGCAAACCUACACUAUGAAAGUUACAGCGAAAAAUCACUCUGACAGAGGAAAAAAAAACAGGAACAGAAAUUGAGGCAAGGACAAGACUGUGGCAAAGGCUGGAGUGAUCGCACGAAGACAACACACUGGCACGAGACUACAUAAGAUAGCCUGCGUUACAUUACUAAUUCUAUAAUUAAUUAUUUAGACUAAUACCAGUACAAUUUUCAGGAGAAUACUACACAAUAUUAUAUAUCUGCACUGCAGACUUCAGACACAACAUGGACGGCUGCAUCCUGCAGAAGUUCUCUGAUGACUGAUGUGGAGUACAGGGGACUGACCGGGACUUUGUGGACUGGUGUCAGCAGAAUCACCUCCUCGUCAACGCAGGGAAGACCAAGGAGAUGGUGGUGGACUUCUGCAGACGCCAGCCUACUACCACCCCUGUGUCGGGGGACAUUCAGGGAGCGGACAUUGAGCAAGUGGACUCUUACAAGUACCUGGAUGUUCACCUAAAUCACAAACUGGACUGGAGCAUCACAGAGAGGGAGAGGAAGAAGCUGGACAAGAUCAUCAAUUAGUCCAGCUCGGUCCUGGGCUGUCCUCUGGACUCAGUACAGGAGGCGGGGGACAACAGGGUCCUGGCUAAACUAACAUCUAUGCUGGACCAUGAGUCUCACCCCCUGCAGGACACACUGUCUGCUCUGGAGAGCAGCUUCAGAGACUGAUUCACCCUCGCUGUGUGAUGGAGAGAUUCCACAGCUCUUUCCUUCCUGCUGCUGUCGGGCUCUACAGUGAGCAUUGUUAGCUCUGUCAUCCAUCUGCAGUCACCAUGUGCAAUAAUUACUGUUAGUCACUAAUUGUACAUAGGAACUUUUUAUAUAUGCAGAGCUUUGUAGUUGAGCUCUAGAUAGGUAGAUGCUAUUUUAUGUUAAUUUUUAUAUUUCUAAUCAUUUUUAUUCUUAUUAUCUUAAAUAUUUUUGAUCCUGUAACUCUUAUUCCAGUGCUGUUUUUGUACCCUGCUGUUGUAACACUACAGUUUCCCUUUUGUGGGACAAAUAAGGGUUUUCUUAUCUCAGUACAUACAUGCAGCUCAGGAGGGGAGAGAUUGUAUCAAGGUGCUUCAAACGUCUGAGCAGUGUGGUGUGUUGCUGGUCUGGCUCUGGCGCACGACAGGCCACACCUUGACGCUACACACUGAUCUAAUGAUUCUUGCUAAAAGGAAAAACAUAGAAGUGUAGCCAACAUCCGUCAGGAAAAACCAAAUCAACCUCCCCCUCACCAAGGUCCUGAUGAACUGACCAUGAGAAGAGCAGGGCACGUUGCACAUGUAAAUAGAUGUUUUCAGAGCUGUUACAGUGGCAUUCGUUCUAACUGUUCAGUGAGCGUUUGCACAGUGGAAGCGACUGGAACACUGACUCAGUCCCACAUUUGCUAUAUAUACAUGCUAAUAUUGUGUCUGUUUUUAUGAUUAAUGAUGUAAGGGCGCCUAUGAAUAAAAUGCAGUAUUAUUUUUA